ACAUGAGUAGGAGGGCGUGGGGGUUGUGAAGAAGCUUGGACGUGAGUCUGAGUGAAACAGCUUCCAGUGCAGAUCUUGGUGGUAGUAGCAAGUAUUCAAUAAGAGAACAUUGAAGGCCGAAGUGGGGAAGGGUUCCAUGUGAACAGCACUUGGACAUGGGUUAGCCGAUCCUGAGAGACAGGUUAAAUUCCAUCGGAUUGGAGCUUUGGCUCUGUUUCUCGAAAGGGAAGCUGGUUAGUAUUCCAGCGCCGAGACGUGGAUAAUAUGUGGCAACACAAGUGAACUCGGACACGCCAUAGGGGACCCCAGGAAGCGUUGUCUUUUCUUUUUAACAGUUCGACUUACCCUGGAAUCAGAUCAUCUGGAGAUAGGGUUUUCGAACUGGAAUAGCACCUUGUCUAACAGGGUGUCUGGAGUGUUCUCGCUGGCCCUUGAAAAUCCGAGGGAUAGAUUUAUUCGCACUCUCGAUCGUACCCAUAACCGCAUCAGGUCUCCAAGGUUAGAAGCCUCUGGUCCGUAGGACAAAGUAGAUAAGGGAAGUCGGCAAAAUAGGUCCGUAACUUCGGGAAAAGGACUGGCUCUGAGGUUUGGUAUGUGGAACCUGGAUUAAUCGUUGGAGUCGAGCAGAGACUACUUGUUGCUCACGUGACUUGUGGACUCCUUGCUUGAUACCUUCAAUUGAUCCAGGCUGCUUCGGCGCUCUGCAUGCACUUAACAAACAGCUCAGAACUGGAGCGGACAAGGGGAAUCCGACUGUUUAAUCAAAACAAAGCAUUGUGAUGGCCUCAAAAGGUGUUGACACAAUGUGAUUUCUGCCCAGUGCUCUGAAUGUCAAAGUGAUGAAAUUCAAACAAGCGCGGGUAAACGGCGGGAGUAACUAUGACUCUCUUAAGGUAGCCAAAUGCCUCGUCAUCUAACUAGUGACGCGCAUGAAUGGAUUACGAGAUCCCACUGUCCCUAUCUACUGUCUAGCGAACCACAGCCAAGGGAACGGGGCUUGGAAUAGUCAGCGAGGGAAAGAAGACCCUGUU
rnacentral:ncRNA from 1 species